CCAAAAAUUUAGCCCACCCAACCUCUAUCACACCCAACAACCAACUAAAAUAUUUUAUCACCUAGUAGAGACGAUCAAAACCUUAACAAGAGCUAUAUUAAAGUACCGCAAGGGAAAAAUGAAAUAUAAUGAAAACUAUAAAGCACAAAAAAGUAAAGCCUACAUCUUGUACCUUUCGCAUCAUGAUUUAACUAGUCCAACCAAGCAAAAAGACUUUUAGUUUGAAUCCCCGAAACCGGGUGAGCUACUUAGGGGCAGCUUACCGAGCAAACCCGUCCCUGUUGCAAAAGGGUGGGAAGACCCCCUAGUAGAGGUGACAAACCUACCGAACCCUGUGAUAGCUGGUUACUCGAAAAAAGAAUCUUAGUUCAACCUAAAGUAAUCCGUAAAUAAAAUUACCACUUUAGAGUAAUUCAAAUAAGGUACAGCCUAUUUGAAACAGGAUACAACCUCUGACAACGGCUAAUAACAAAAUAUCUAAUCAAGUGGGCCUAAAAGCAGCCACCUUUGAAGAGCGUCAAAGCCUAAUUUCCCCACACCCCUAAUACCAAAACCCCCACAGAAUCCUUCAUCAGUAUCGAGUACUUCUAUGCCACCAUAGAAACUUUUAUGUUAAAACUAGUAACAAGAAAACACUUCUCUUUAAUGUAAGUAUAAAUCAGAAUGGACUCUCCACUGAUAAUUACACCUUCUAACAACAACUCACCCACGAAAACCCUGCCCCUUAAGCGGUUAACCUUACACAAGAACAUUACAAGAAUGAUUUAAAGAAAAAGAAGGAACUCGGCAAACACUAAUUCCGCCUGUUUACCAAAAACAUCGCCUCCUGAUAAUCAUAAGAGGUCUAGCCUGCCCAGUGACACUAGUUCAACGGCCGCGGUAUCCUGACCGUGCGAAGGUAGCGUAAUCAUUUGUCUUUUAAAUUAAGACUCGUAUGAAAGGCACCACGAGAAUUAAACUGUCUCCUUUUUCUAAUCUAUGAAACUGAUCUCCCCGUGAAGAAGCGGGGAUUUUAAUAUAAGACGAGAAGACCCUAUGGAGCUUCAGACGAAUAAUAAUGCCCUCCCCCUUCCUCACUAAAAUACCAGGGCAUCUUAAUUAUUUAGUCUUGGGUUGGGGCGACCAUGGAGUAAAAAUCACCCUCCAUGCUGAACAGGACCUCCUUAAAUAAGAGCAACAGCUCUAUGAAUCAAUAAAUUGACACAUUUGACCCAAUUACUUGAUCAACGAAACAAGUUACCCUAGGGAUAACAGCGCAAUCCACUUCAAGAGCCCUUAUCAACAAGUGGGUUUACGACCUCGAUGUUGGAUCAGGGUAUCCCAGUGGUGCAGCCGCUACUAAAGGUUUGUUUGUUCAACAAUUAAAACCCUACGUGAUCUGAGUUCAGACCGGAGAAAUCCAGGUCAGUUUCUAUCUAUAAAGAGCUUUUUCCAGUACGAAAGGACCGUAACAGCGCGACCCAUGCAAAUUGUAAGUCGUUGUUAGCAAAUUAUGUCACUUAAUAAAAUACUAACCCCUUCCCCCCAUUCAAAGAAGAAUAAUAAUU
rnacentral:rRNA from 1 species